UACGGGAGGCAGCAGUGGGGAAUCUUCCGCAAUGGGCGCAAGCCUGACGGAGCAACGCCGCGUGGGUGAGGAAGUUUUUCGGAACGUAAAGCCCUGUUGUUUAUGACGAACGGACUUUCUGUGAAGAAUGGGAAGUAGUGACGGUAAUAGACGAGGAAGCCACGGCUAACUACGUGCCAGCAGCCGCGGUAAU
rnacentral:rRNA from 1 species